GUCUCGCGUCAGGAUGAACGCUAGCGGCAGGCCUAACACAUGCAAGUCGAGGGGCAUCGGGAUUGAAGCUUGCUUCAAUUGCCGGCGACCGGCGCACGGGUGCGUAACGCGUAUGUAACCUACCUAUAACAGGGGCAUAACACUGAGAAAUUGGUACUAAUUCCCCAUAAUAUUCGGAGAGGCAUCUCUCCGGGUUGAAAACUCCGGUGGUUAUAGAUGGACAUGCGUUGUAUUAGCUAGUUGGUG
rnacentral:rRNA from 1 species